UGGGGAAUCUUGCGCAAUGGGCGAAAGCCUGACGCAGCAACGCCGCGUGGAGGAAGAAGGCCUUCGGGUUGUAAACUCCUGUCAGGGGGAAAGAAGGCACCUGGGUGAAUAGCCCAAGGGCUGACGGUACCCCCAGAGGAAGCCACGGCUAACUACGUGCCAGCAGCCGCGGUAAUACGUAGGUGGCGAGCGUUGUCCGGAAUUAUUGGGCGUAAAGAGCGCGUAGGCGGCUUGUCAGGUCCGACGUGAAAUCCCGGGGCUCAACCCCGGACGUGCAUCGGAAACCGGCUUGCUAGAGUCUGGGAGAGGGGAGUGGAAUUCCUGGUGUAGCGGUGAAAUGCGCAGAUAUCAGGAGGAACACCCGUAGCGAAGGCUGCUCCCUGGAACAGUACUGACGCUGAGGCGCGAAAGCUAGGGGAGCAAACAG
rnacentral:rRNA from 1 species